GGAUAUCUCAGUGGGUAGAGAAUGAGACUCUUGACCUCAGGGUUGUGGGUUUGAGCCCCACGUUGGGUA
rnacentral:tRNA from 1 species